UACGUAGGGUGCAAGCGUUGCCCGGAUUUAUUGGGCGUAAAGGGCGCGUAGGCGGCUCUGCACGUCCGUUGUGAAAUCGCCCGGCUCACCUGGGCGGGGUCAGCGGAUACGGCAGAGCUUGAGCAAGCUAGGGGGCAAUGGAAUUCCCGGUGUAGUGGUGGAAUGCGUAGAUAUCGGGAGGAACACCAGUGGCGAAGGCGGUUGCCUGGGGCUUUGCUGACGCUGAUGCGCGAAAGCGUGGGGAGCGAUCCGG
rnacentral:rRNA from 1 species